rnacentral:rRNA from 1 species
UACGUAGGGACCGAGCGUUGUCCGGAAUCAUUGGGCGUAAAGAGCGUGUAGGCGGCCAUACAGGUCCGUUGUGAAAACUGGAGGCUUAACCUCCAGACGUCGAUGGAAACCGUAUGGCUAGAGUCCGGAAGAGGAGAGUGGAAUUCCUGGUGUAGCGGUGAAAUGCGCAGAUAUCAGGAAGAACACCCGUGGCGAAGGCGGCUCUCUGGGACGGUACUGACGCUGAGACGCGAAAGCGUGGGGAGCGAACAGG